AUUGAACGCUGGCGGCAGGCCUAACACAUGCAAGUCGAGCGGAUGAGAGGAGCUUGCUUCUCGAUUCAGCGGCGGACGGGUGAGUAAUGCCUAGGAAUCUGCCUGGUAGUGGGGGACAACGUUUCGAAAGGAACGCUAAUACCGCAUACGUCCUACGGGAGAAAGCAGGGGACCUUCGGGCCUUGCGCUAUCAGAUGAGCCUAGGUCGGAUUAGCUAGUUGGUGAGGUAAUGGCUCACCAAGGCGACGAUCCGUAACUGGUCUGAGAGGAUGAUCAGUCACACUGGAACUGAGACACGGUCAAGACUCCUACGGGAGGCAGCAGUUGGGAAUAUUGGACAAUGGGCGAAAGCCUGAUCCAGCCAUGCCGCGUGUGUGAAGAAGGUCUUCGGAUUGUAAAGCACUUUAAGUUGGGAGGAAGGGUUGUAGAUUAAUACUCUGCAAUUUUGACGUUACCGACAGAAUAAGCACCGGCUAACUCUGUGCCAGCAGCCGCCGUAAAAC
rnacentral:rRNA from 1 species